UAAAGAAUGAUACAUUAUUAGAUAAGUCAUGACAAACUAAACAUGUAUAUGCAAUUAGAAGGUAAUACUGACCCAAAUUCAAGUAAACAGAAGCGAGGCCUUCAAAGUCCACAGGCAGAAGCAGUAGCCUAGCACGUUCUAGAAAGUUCCAUACAGUUAGCUUAACCAUACAGCUUAGAAGAAUACUUACAAUAUAAAGAAUGAUUAUAAGAACGAUACAUUAUUAGAUAAGUCAGGAACAUGACAAGCUAAAUAUGUAUAUGCAAUUAGGAGGUAAUACUCACCCAAACGUAAGUAAACAGCAGCGAGGCCUACAGAGUCCACAGUCAGAAGCAGUAGCCUAGCACGUUCUAGAAAGUUCCAUACAGUUAGCUUAACCAUAAACCUAACAAUUCAUGAAAUGAUGACACAGAAUUUGAUAAGUCAUGAGCUUCAUUAAAACUAACAUUAAAUUAUAGUCAAACGCGAAGAAAACGGCUGAGUAGAAGUGGGAGGAUAAACGUUAGCUUAGCAGCGUAGCUUUCUCCAAGACGUUUACAAACGACUUUUCUCCAAAACUACUGCGAGGGUUGACAAAGUUCUUCAAUCUACAAGUGUCUAAGCAUCAAGACGUCCCCGUCACGAGCCGCUGCCUCAUGGCGGUCGUGAGCGCCGCAUUCGGUGAUUCAUCGCCUCGCUGACAAGAGCGCCACGCUCCCCGCUUGGGUUACAGCCUGGGAAGCGCUCGCCUUGGAAACAUGUCUGCUGGUGUGAUGUUACGCCAGUGACUCACUCGUCCACAUUGGGUCCUGCCGUUGUUGGGCCUGAUCAUUGUUGGAGUUGUGGUGUACUGCUGUUUCCGGAUCAGGGGCAGAACCACAGAAGCAGGCCGCCAUCAGUUCGGCCAAGGGAGGUUCCCGGGUUGCCUUGUUUAACUCCCUCAUGAUGGUGGACGGUGUCUCCUUGUAGCCGCUUUCCCAGUGAGGCGUUGACUGCUCUCGGCCUGGAUGAGGCAUCAGUGAUGUGUUGCUUGUGAACCAAACAGCUGAAAUGAACACCAUCUUAUUUUCCAAGUAAAAUGGCGUGUGAUUGGUUAACGUGCAAACAUGCAAUAGGCUGCGGCCUGCAGCGGCCUUGCCACAAAGUCACACUUAAAACACCUCCUUGGUAUCAGCGUCCCAAUGCGGAUUCCUUAAUCCACGGACAACAAAUAAAACAGGUCCCCUACCUGUUUCCAGGUGAAUGCAUGGCAGCGGCAUGUAGUUCCUUGCUUCGCCAUGAUGCCCACUUUGGUGGCCAUUAUGUUGUUUUGUUGACACUUGUUGAGGUUUGGCAUGGUGCAGGUUCAUUAACAUUAUUUAAAUGUUUAUUCAAGAAGUCUUUUAGUGUCUUGGUAAUCAAAACAAGUGAAACCAAAAGGAAAUCCAUACCCGAGGAAGUAAAACAAUUCUAUAAUCAACCACUUCCUAUGAACAGUUUGGCGCCCCCCGGUGACAGAAGUCAGAAUCACUUCCUAUAAACAGUUUGGCGUCUCGGUGACUAAAGCUAAAAAUCGACUAAACAGCGACGCGUCAAUGUUUCCGAACCCAAAACAAGCGUUUAGCUUACUUCAAGUCAGCCACGGCAUGUCCGGUAUGAUGUUGAAGUGAGUUUUUGCCGCCUUAGGUUUAGAAGAAAUGGCUAACUGGUUAACUCGCUAGCUUGUUAGCGCGCUACUAGCGGCCAUCUUGAGUCCCAAUGUAACGUAAACAAUUACUUGGAAAGUAAAGAUGACGAAAGGAGGUGUUAUUUCAUGUUUACAUUAGUCCGGUUAUCUUUUUUUAAAUAAACUAUUUACAAAGUUAAGCAUCUUUACAUGCUGUAUGGAAAUACUCAACCUCUUCCGUGAUACUGUGAUAAUGAUAAUGAUACUGUGAUAAUGUGGUCAGGUCUGGAACCACCAUAAACAAGGGAACACUUAUGAGGAAAAAUGUACAAUAAGACCCAGCAACAAUUCUAAAAGGUGAAAUAUGUUUAGAUUUUUAA